rnacentral:rRNA from 1 species
GUGCCAGCAGCCGCGGUAAGACAGAGGGUGCAAACGUUGUUCGGAAUUACUGGGCGUAAAGCGCGUGUAGGCGGCAGCGUGUGUCGGGCGUGAAAUCCCAUGGCUUAACCAUGGAAGUGCACCCGAAACUGCGCAGCUAGAGUCCUGGAGAGGAAGAUGGAAUACUUGGUGUAGAGGUGAAAUUCGUAGAUAUCAAGUGGAACACCGGUGGCGAAGGCGGUCUUCUGGACAGUGACUGACGCUGAGACGCGAAAGCGUGGGGAGCAAACAGGAUUAGAUACCCUUGUAGUCC